GCAGUCGNNCGGCAGCGGGUAGGAAGCUUGCUUCCUAUGCCGGCGAGUGGCGGACGGGUGAGGAACACAUCGGAAUCUACUCCGUCGUGGGGGAUAACGUAGGGAAACUUACGCUAAUACCGCAUACGACCUAAGGGUGAAAGUGGGGGACCGCAAGGCCUCACGCGAUGGAAUGAGCCGAUGUCCGAUUAGCUAGUUGGCGGGGUAAAGGCCCACCAAGGCGACGAUCGGUAGCUGGUCUGAGAGGAUGAUCAGCCACACUGGGACUGAGACACGGCCCAGACUCCUACGGGAGGCAGCAGUGGGGAAUAUUGGACAAUGGGCGAAAGCCUGAUCCAGCCAUGCCGCGUGGGUGAAGAAGGCCUUCGGGUUGUAAAGCCCUUUUGUUGGGGAAGAAAUCCUGCUGGCUAAUACCCGGCGGGGAUGACGGUACCCAAAGAAUAAGCACCGGCUAACUUCGUGCCAGCAGCCGCGGUAAUACGAAGGGUGCAAGCGUUACUCGGAAUUACUGGGCGUAAAGCGUGCGUAGGUGGUGGCUUAAGUCCGUUGUGAAAGCCCUGGGCUCAACCUGGGAAUUGCAGUGGAUACUGGGUCACUAGAGUGUGGUAGAGGGUGGCGGNNUUCCCGGUGUAGCAGUGAAAUGCGUAGAGAUCGGGAGGAACACACGUGGCGNNNNCGGCCACCUGGGCCAACACUGACACUGNNNCACGAAAGCGUGNGGAGCAAACANNANNAGAUGCCCUGGUAGUCCACGCCCU
rnacentral:rRNA from 1 species